GCGAGCCUGGGAAGGGCACAGAGGAGACGGAAGGAUUGGUUUUCCAAGAAAGGAAAGGAGGCCCCGGCAAGGCCAGCCCGACUACUACGAAUAUUGAUCUACCGCUUCUCCACAGAAGUUCUCAAAGCAGUUGACACAGGGAGGCACUCUGGAUGUUUAAUGUGAACAGAAAAGCAAGAUAUAAAGAUAUGUAAAUACAUACAGUAUAAAGGGUGAUGAUGGAUUAUAAGAUUUAAAAACCAUGUCUUAGGGAUAUUGGGUCUGAGCAGAAUUCCACAAAGGAUGAGUGCAGCAGCCAUAUAAUUCUGCUGACAAGGCAAAGAAAUGGCAUCCACCCUGGAGCUCAGGGCUGUGUGUGCUCUGGGUUAAAAUGGGGAAAAACUUUGCACUCUGAAAAGCUCAGUCCUGCAGCCUAUAUACACUUACUGCAAAACAAGCACAUCUGCACAAUUAAAUUUGCUAACUUGGAUGGAAUUUUUGUCAUUUUGCAUAAUUUAUUCUGGGUUUUCUCAUAAUGGGGGGAGGAAAAUCCCACCUACCCAAAAGAUUACUAUAAAUCUCCUUCAGCCACCUCUCUUUUUAACUGAAAGCAGAGAACAAGUAGCUGAAUUCUGCACUCAUUUAUAUAUUCUGCAAGAGCUUUCCCAGACAGGAGGCUUUACUGAGGGUUUAUGGCGAGUUCGAAGUGGCCCCCAAAAGUCGAAACAAAAUGUUGAUUGUUUUAUCCACAGAUACAAACCAGGCUACACUCUGACAUAGGAAGCUGCCAUAUACUGAGUCAGACCACUGGUCUCUUUAGCUCAGUAUUGUCUUCACAAAGUGGCAGCAGCUUCUCCAAGGUUGCAGGCAGGAAUCCCUCUCAGCCCUGUCUUGGAGAUGCUGCCAGGGAGGGAACUUGGAACCUUCUGCUCUUCCCAUAUUGGCGGCUCCAUCCCCUGAGGGGAAUCUCGUACAGUGCUCACGCUUCUAGUCUCCCAUUCAUAUGCAACCAGGGCGGACCCUGCUUAGCUAAGGGGACAAGUCAUGCUUGCUACCACAAGACCAGCUCUCCUCUCCUCUUUUUCAUCUGACGCGUGAUGAAAAACCCGAAUUUAUUUAUUUAUUCUAUUCUAUUUUAUUUAUUGUUAAUUUAUAUACUGCCUUUCAUUAAAACAAUCCCAAGGAGG